GGCAAAGCUGCGAUCGCCCAAACGAGAGGAGUGAAAUAUGCGUCCAACUCGGGCCUAGAAAAAGAUACUUACUUUCACUUCAAAUGCAACCACGGCUCAGCACACGCAGGUGAUGUACACUUUAGUCCCUCCCAUUGGCUCCAGCAGGACAGAUGAGGAGGAAAGAAACGAUCCUGAACUGAGGUUCUGCCAAACAAUGUUCUUGUAGUGUUUUAAGCAGGAACUGCAGAUAUGCUCUGGGGGUAUAUAGUAUGUCAAUUUAACCAAACAACGUGGUGGUUUCCUGUGUAGCUGUUCAGAAAGCAGACAAACUGGCACUGGACUGAGAUCUGCUGCAACGUGAGACUAAACGUGGACAUGAGGGACAGGACAAGUCGUGACUGGGUCUCAUCAGGAUAAACACACACAGGAAUGUGAGGAUGGAGAGGAGAGGAAAUGGAAAUUCUGGCACCUGGUUGAAGUGUCCUGUGAGGAAGAUCCCCACUGUGCCGAUGAUGAAGAGGAGUAUGGCAGCCCAGAAACACACCUUGUCAAUCAUCUUCCCAAUCAGCACCCAGCUUUCAAUUUCCU